GCCGAGAGGUUUGUUUGUUCCUGGCGAGGGAGCUCUUUCUAACCUAGGCAGAAGCAGCCAGCCUUCUGAAAUACCCCGGGGCAGGAAUCCCAGGGCUGCUUCCCACCUCCGGACUUCUCAGUAGAACAAGCAAACUCAGUUAAAAUGCCAGAGAUUUUCAAGGAAUGGAACAAAGAAAGCAGAGUGACAGGAAUGAAAGACACUGAAAAAGUCCUCACUGGCAGGAAUUUAUUCUUGUUACUUCUGCAUACCAUCAACGAUGUUUGCAUCUUCAUCAAGGCUAGACAUCUCUUCCUGUGAACUUGGGAUGGAUGGAAGAUGUCUGUGGAAGGAUGCAGAUGAUGAGGCCAUUAAGAACUCAACUGUGAUGGACAGUCUUUUUCAAAUUAUUGUUAUUAUUAUUAUUAUGUGUAUUUUAUUAUUCCAUAGUAUCUGACCACCCUCUCUAUUACAAAUCAUACUUAAUGUUGUCACUUAUGGUACAGUAUACACAUAGCACCAUAAAAACAAGCCAUGGAGUUAGCCCUCACUACUGCAUGAAUGUCUGAAGGACAGGUACCAUCGGCUAUCUUUCUAGCCUGCAUCAAUUAUCCUGUCUACUGCUGCAUGUCCAUUUUUACCUAUCAUUAAGAUUCACAAAAACUUAAGUUACUUAAAAAUUAAACAUUUAAAUGUUUGUUGACAAAACAAUAAACAUGAAAAAUUUUUCCUAUUACCUUGGCCAAUAAAAAAUUUAGAAUUUCUAGUUACUAGGCACACAGGACUCUAAAGUAUGCUAUACCUUGCCUGCUUUGAGCUACAAAUAUAUUCUAUUUUCUUGUGACACCACCUUUACAGGAAGACUUCUCGCUGACCCCAUAUGCUUGAUGGCUUUGGGGUCUUCUUUCCAGGGCUUCACAUAGCUGCUGUCUUCCUAAGGCUAAAUUGCCUAUUUGACAGUAGAAUAAUGAAAGUCAUUUCAAGGUUGCUUCUGUCAAAGCCACUAGGUCCAGCAUUCUGGGGACUGCUCUGGAUAUAAAGUGCUUAAUUGAAAGUAAUCAAUGCCACAAAUCAAUUCAGGAUUUAGCAUCAAACACUGUUUGCUGAACAGGACCAGGAAGGAAAUCCCUGGUCUCAUAAAACACAGGAAAACCACAAAGUGGAAGCUUCAUUCUAGCUUAUUCUGCCUUCCUUAAAAGGUGGUGGCAUGAGCCAAUUAUACAGAAGCUAGAAUGCAAGGAUAAAAUAGAAAAUUGACUUAACUUUUUUAUUU
ensembl:lincRNA B230110C06Rik RIKEN cDNA B230110C06 gene